rnacentral:rRNA from 1 species
GUGGAUUAGAUACCCUGGUAGUCCACGCCCUAAACGAUGUCAACUGGGUGUUGGGGAAGCGAUUCCUUGGUACCGUAGCUAACGCGUGAAGUUGACCGCCUGGGGAGUACGGCCGCAAGGUUAAAACUCAAAGGAAUUGACGGGGACCCGCACAAGCGGUGGAUGAUGUGGAUUAAUUCGAUGCAACGCGAACAACCUUACCUACCCUUGACAUGUCUGGAAGCCUGCUGAGAGGCGGGUGUGCCCGAAAGGGAACCGGAACACAGGUGCUGCACGGUCGUCGCCAACU